rnacentral:rRNA from 1 species
UACGUAGGGCGCAAGCGUUAUCCGGAAUUAUUGGGCGUAAAGAGCUCGUAGGCGGUUUGUCGCGUCUGCCGUGAAAGUCCGGGGCUCAACUCCGGAUCUGCGGUGGGUACGGGCAGACUAGAGUGAUGUAGGGGAGACUGGAAUUCCUGGUGUAGCGGUGAAAUGCGCAGAUAUCAGGAGGAACACCGAUGGCGAAGGCGGCGAUCUGGGAAGAUACUGACGCUGAGGUGCGAAAGCGUGGGGAGCAAACAGG